AAAAGGCAAGAAACCAAAAAAGCUAAAGAUGACGCCGGUGAGCAAACAGAACAACAACGCCGCAAAUUCAAGUUCAUUGUCAGUGGAAAGAAGACUCUGCAUUAUGGGGACUGAUUACAGAAAGGAGGAGGAAAUUAUACUCGAAGGGAUUUAACAAAUUGUGAGGGAGAGAGGACCUUUCCCACUACCGAAAAGAAUAUAAAAUGAACUCAGGACAAGCACAAGAGACUUUCUGGAGUGUCUUUGAUGGCCAUCAAGUCCAAGCUGCUGAGGGAGCUGAACUUUGAGGACUUUGUUCGCAAACUUUGCGAGGAAAAAUAUCAGUAAGGAACUUCUGAAAGUAAAAGACCUUUGAGACCUCAAACUGCCAAAUGAGUUGAAUUAUGGCCAGUUAUGUGGAGUGGACCCAGCAUCACGGGGGACAGGCUUUAGUCAGUGGAACUAACUACACUCCUGACCAUUAAAAGGCAGCCUGACACCACCUCUUCAUCUCCUGCCUGCUCGAAAAGGCCAGCAGUGCAAACCCCGUGUCCCCAAGCUAAGACAAAGUGUAGCAGUCCGACCAAAGAGCCAGGCAGUGCACUUCAGCUCUCAUGUCCUCGUGUUCAAACUUUGACCUCUCUUGCUCUGCACAAAAAGACAUGAUCUGAGCAUGAAGUGCGUCAUUUUCACCUGCAAGCAUGUCAUAUUGUGUUUGCUUGUGUUGUUGCCUGGAACUCCUGCCAGUUGUGGAGCACUCGAUUGUCCUACGGAGAUUUUCAACUACCUGGCCGAGUUCUUCGUUUUCCUUCUCCAAUUUUUCACACGGGGUGUCCAGAGAAGUUCUGUCUGUAAGAAGACUAUCCAGAUCAGCCACUGUCAGCCAUUUUUUAAAUUCAGUCAACUGUAACUCUGAACAACUGUACCUAUCCUCACAACUUUUGUUCUUCAGUCAACCUGAAAUGUAGAACAAAUGAGUUGCUCUUUGGAAUUUGGAAAUAAAGGGAGAUGGAUCACUGAGAUCCAUGCAUGCGUAGGGAAAACAUGCAAACAUGCACAAAGAACCCCACCGAGAAUCUGAAUUAGGAGCUUCUUGCAGCAAGUGCUACCAACUGCGCCACUGUCCAAUUCAUCUAAAUGUCCUUUUUAUGUUCAGUACAGUAUCAAACACUCGAAAUGUAUUUAUUAGCAAUUGAUUUUGUUCAAAAGCAACCUCUUACUUAAAAUAUGUCAAAGAUUAAAUUCAUAUUGUUCACAAACUGCAGAAAAAAUAUUCAGAAAAUCUACAAAUACUUCCUGUUGUGACACUACUGCUAUCUGGGCAUAUAACUUGAUGAAAACCAAGCUAUAUGCUCAUGUAAUUCUGAAUUAUUGAAAUGAUGCAUUAAGUGUGUUUUACUUACAAAGCCUGUAUACAAAAUGUACCAUUGCAUUUCUCAGAUCUUUGCAGGUUCAUAUGCAAUCUGUAUGGAACUUGGUGCUUCUGUUUUCAGGAUGUGGAUAAGCAUCCGCUCCAUCUGCCAUUUCUCCUUCUUUCCUUCCUUCCUCCUUUCCAUCCUUUACAAAUUAAAAGGCUUAAGAUCUGCUAGGAAUGCU